rnacentral:rRNA from 1 species
GUGGGGAAUUUUGGACAAUGGGCGAAAGCCUGAUCCAGCCAUGCCGCGUGAACGAUGAAGGCCUUCGGGUUGUAAAGUUCUUUAGCCGAUGAUUAUAAUGACUGUAGUCGGAAAAUAAGCCCCGGCUAACUUCGUGCCAGCAGCCGCGGUAAUACGAAGGGGGCGAGCGUUAUUCGGAAUCACUGGGCGUAAAGCGUGCGUAGGCGGUCUCGUAAGUUAGGAGUGAAAGCCCAGGGCUCAACCUUGGAAUUGCUCUUAAAACUGCAAGGCUAGAAUCUCGGAGAGGAUAGCGGAAUUUCCAGUGUAGCAGUGAAAUGCGUAGAUAUUGGAAGGAACACCAGUGGCGUAAGCGGCUAUCUGGACGAGUAUUGACGCUGAGGCACGAAAGCGUGGGGAUCAAACAGGAUUAGAAACCCGAGUAGUCC